GACGAACGCUGGCGGCGUGCUUAACACAUGCAAGUCGAACGGAAAGGCCCUGCUUGCAGGGUACUCGAGUGGCGAACGGGUGAGUAACACGUGGGUGAUCUGCCCUGCACUUCGGGAUAAGCCUGGGAAACUGGGUCUAAUACCGGAUAGGAGCCAUUUUGAGUGUGGUGGUUGGAAAGUUUUUUCGGUGUAGGAUGAGCUCGCGGCCUAUCAGCUUGUUGGUGGGGUAAUGGCCUACCAAGGCGGCGACGGGUAGCCGGCCUGAGAGGGUGGACGGCCACAUUGGGGCUGAGAGACGCCCCAGACUCCUACGGGAGGCAGCAGUGGGGAAUAUUGCACAAUGGGCGCAAGCCUGUGGCAGCGACGCGGCGUGGGGGAUGACGGCCUUCGGGUUGUAAACUCCGUUCGCUAGGGACGAAGCUUUUGGUGACGGUACCUAGAUAAGGAGCACCGGCUAACUACGUG
rnacentral:rRNA from 1 species